UACGGGGGGGGCAAGCGUUGUUCGGAAUUACUGGGCGUAAAGGGCGCGUAGGCGGCCUACUAAGUCGGACGUGAAAUCCCUCGGCUCAACUGAGGAACUGCCUUUGAGACUGUCGAGCUCGAGGCCGGGAGGGGGUAGCGGAAUUCCCAGUGUAGCGGUGAAAUGCGUAGAUAUUGGGAGGAACACCAGUGGCGAAGGCGGCUACCUGGACCGGUUCUGACGCUGAUGCGCGAAGGCGUGGGUAGCAAACAGG
rnacentral:rRNA from 1 species